AUAAAGGGCGAUGGAGUUCGCCAUAACUGUCUCUCUGAGACUAAUGACUCCUACCA
rnacentral:ncRNA from 1 species